AGUCAUGCUCACUCACUGGGCAUCUUAAUGCAUCUAUGUUACUGCAGACAAAUGUUGGGUUGCAGAAAAAUCCAGUUGCCUUCUUAUACUUUCUAUCUUUCUCAGUCUGGCAUUUCAAACCCCUUCAGAGUGAAAGCUGGCCUCUGAUGGGGAUACCUGCCUACUUUAUUACAUAUUUCAAGAUGCUGAUUCUGCAAACAUACAGGGCCAGAUCCAGGUUCAGCACAGUCAAUGGGGAUCUAUUGGAUGGGUCCCCUGGCAAACAACUCAAAAGCCCUUUAUGUGGCAGUAGGCUUCCAGAGAUGAGAAGAAUAUGUACAAAAGCCAAAGGAGCACAAAGAGGCUGGAUGUCAGAAGCUUGGCAGUCCGCGGCCCACCCAGCUCACCUCCAAUUUCAGGUCUCCGGCGGU